AUCGAGUCCUUCAAGAUCAUCCACAGCUGACUGAGUCUUUUUCAGAGUCAGGUCAGCAGUCAUCGUGCCCUCAUUAUAAGAUCUGACGAACUUGAAGUCACUAGUGCGCGAGCCCGUGGUCAGGUAUGCGUCAUAAUUGUAAGUGCUGCGGAGAGUUCCCGCACCCUCUACAUCUGCGUAAUUUGGAGGAAGAUACGCGCUGGGAAUGGCUACUGCUCCAUCAAACAACAGUCUGGGCUUUCUCCUGCGACAAAACCUCACGGCCAGGAUGAUGAUGAUGAAGGUCAGGAAGAAAGUGGAAACGGACACCAGCGCGAUGAUCAAAUAAAACGUGAGUUUGGAGCUGCUCUCCUCACGAGACAUGUCUUUCAGUUCUGGAACUUCAGCCAAGUUAUCUGAAAUAAGUAAAUACAAUGCGCACGUGGCUGAGAGAGAGGGCUGUCCGUUAUCUCUCACGGACACAAUGAGGUUCUGUUUCAUGCUGUCAGAUUCAGAAAUGUCCCGCUGCGUCCUGAUCUCUCCGCUGUGGACACCGAUAGUGAAAAGUCCCGGAUCAGUCGCUUUCAUAAUGUGAUACGAGAGCCACGCGUUCUGGCCAGAAUCCGCGUCCACGGCGAUCACCUUGGAGACCAGGGAGCGCGCCUGAGCAGCCUUGGGGACCAUCUCUGUCAUGAAGGAGUUUCCUUCCGGAGAGGGGUAUAAUAUCUGAGGGGAGUUGUCAUUCUCAUCCGUUAUGAAGACACUCACGGUCACGUUACUGCUCAGAGGAGGAGAACCGUUGUCUCUGGCUAACACGAGCACUUUGAAACUUUUCAACUGUUCGUAAUCAAACGACCUCACAGCAUGAAUGACUCCGGUGUCUCCGUUAAUGGAUAGAAAAGACGACACCGGUGCGCCAUUGACAUCAGAGGACAACAGAGAAUAAACUACAGUGCCAUUCUGUCUCCAAUCCGGGUCUGUAGCUGAUACUGAACAAAUAGAGGAGCCCGGUUUGUUAUUUUCUUGCACAUGAGCUCGGUAAUUGUGCUGCUGAAAUACAGGUGGAUUAUCAUUCACGUCAGCUACAGUCACGUGGAUAUUCUUAGUGGAAGAUAAAGGCGGAGAGCCCUCAUCAGUAGCAGUAAUUGUAAUAUUAUAAUCAGAGAGCAGCUCGCGGUUUAAUUCACCUGUGGUCAUCAGAGAAUAAUAAUUUUU
ensembl:lncRNA